GAGAGAGAGAGACAGAGGGCGGCGGUGAGGGCGGCCCCGGGCGGAGCGGAGCGGCGCGGCCGGCGCCCCUCACCUGGAUGCGGGACUCGGGGAUCUGCGUGGCGUCGGCCAGCUUCUCCCGCAGGAUGCAAGUUAGAUCCACCUGGGGAGCCCCAGCAGCUCAGACGGGGCAGAGACAGACGCUGGUGUCAUCACCUUUUCCACCCACUGGUUAAUGCGUGCGCACUCCCGCUCGCACUCACGCAGCCCAGGCACUUCUGCGAUAACUGUUUCCCAGCUGGAGAGAGUCUCGCGCCGAAACGUUGCCCGCACACUCCAACAAGGCUCUAUGCCUGACCAUCGCCAAGGCACUUCAAAAUGGGUUU